rnacentral:rRNA from 1 species
UGGGGAAUCAUGGUCAAUGGGCGAAAGCCUGAACCUGCGACGCCGCGUGAGUGAUGAAGGUCGUAAGAUCGUAAAACUCUUUUCAGGGAUCUUAAAGCCUGUCUGUCAACAACAGGCAGAUCUGACUCUCCCUGGAAGAAGCCCCAGCCAACUACGUGCCAGCAGCUGCGGUAAUACGUAGGGGGCGAGCGUUAUUCGGAAUUACUGGGUGUACAGGGGAUGUAGGCGGCCCUUCAAGUCGCGUGUCAAAGUCCAGUGCGCAACGCUGGGUGUGCGCGCG